GACGAACGCUGGCGGCGUGCCUAAUACAUGCAAGUCGAGCGGAUCACUUCGGUGAUCAGCGGCGGACGGGUGAGUAACACGUGGGCAACCUGCCUGUAAGACUGGGAUAACUUCGGGAAACCGGAGCUAAUACCGGAUAAUCCUUUUCCUCUCAUGAGGGAAGGCUGAAAGACGGUUUCGGCUGUCACUUACAGAUGGGCCCGCGGCGCAUUAGCUAGUUGGUGAGGUAACGGCUCACCAAGGCGACGAUGCGUAGCCGACCUGAGAGGGUGAUCGGCCACACUGGGACUGAGACACGGCCCAGACUCCUACGGGAGGCAGCAGUAGGGAGUCUUCCGCAAUGGACGAAAGUCUGACGGAGCAACGCCGCGUGAGCGAUGAAGGCCUUCGGGUCGUAAAGCUCUGUUGUUAGGGAAGAACAAGUAUCGGAGUAACUGCCGGUACCUUGACGGUACCUAACCAGAAAGCCACGGCUAACUACGUGCCAGCAGCCGCCGUAAUAC
rnacentral:rRNA from 1 species